rnacentral:rRNA from 1 species
GACGAACGCUGGCGGCGUGCUUAACACAUGCAAGUCGAACGGAAAGGCCCUGCUUUUGUGGGGUGCUCGAGUGGCGAACGGGUGAGUAACACGUGAGUAACCUGCCCUUGACUUUGGGAUAACUUCAGGAAACUGGGGCUAAUACCGGAUAGGAGCUCCUGCUGCAUGGUGGGGGUUGGAAAGUUUCGGCGGUUGGGGGUGGACUCGCGGCUUAUCAGCUUGUUGGUGGGGUAGUGGCUUACCAAGGCUUUGACGGGUAGCCGGCCUGAGAGGGUGACCGGCCACAUUGGGACUGCGAGACGGCCCAGACUCCUACGGGAGGCAGCAGUGGGGAAUAUUGCACAAUGGGAGGAAGCCUGAUGCAGCAACGCCGCGUGCGGGAUGACGGCCUUCGGGUUGUAAACCGCUUUCGCCUGUGACGAAGCGUGAGUGACGGUAAUGGGUAAAGAAGCACCGGCUAACUACGUG